rnacentral:rRNA from 1 species
GACAGAGGGGGCAAGCGUUGCUCGGAAUCACUGGGCGUAAAGGGCGCGUAGGCGGGAUGGCAAGUCGGUCGUGAAAUCCUUCGGCUCAACCGAAGAACGUCGGCCGAUACUGCCGUUCUUGAGGGAUGCAGAGGAGAUUGGAAUUCCCGGUGUAGCGGUGAAAUGUGUAGAGAUCGGGAGGAACACCGGUGGCGAAGGCGGGUCUCUGGGCAUCUCCCUGACGCUGAGGCGCGAAAGCGUGGGGAGCAAACGGG